rnacentral:rRNA from 1 species
GGUGAACGCUGGCGGCGUGCUUAAGACAUGCAAGUCGAACGGCAGUCUUCGGACUGUAGUGGCGCACGGGUGAGUAACGCGUAACUGACCUACCCCAAAGUCGCGGAUAACGAUUCGAAAGAAUCGCUAAUACGUGAUGUGCUGUCAGAUUGUGUUCUGCCAGUAAAGAUUGAUUGCGUUGGGAUGGGGUUGCGUUCCAUCAGCUAGUUGGUGGGGUAAAGGCCCACCAAGGCGACGACGGAUAGCCGGCCUGAGAGGGUGGCCGGCCACAGGGGCACUGAGACACGGGUCCCACUCCUACGGGAGGCAGCAGUUAGGAAUCUUCCACAAUGGGCGAAAGCCUGAUGGAGCGACGCCGCGUGAGGGAUGAAGGUCUUCGGAUCGUAAACCUCUGAAUCAGGGACGAAAGACACUUCGGUGGGAUGACGGUACCUGAGUAAUAGCACCGGCUAACUCCGUGCCAGCAGCCGCCGCGGUAA